rnacentral:lncRNA from 1 species
CUAUGGAUGCAUAGCAAACAAAUCAAAUUGAGAGAAGAGAGAAAGAGAGAGAGAGGCGUGAGAAGAGAGAAGCCCUUCUUCUUCUCCUUGGCCUCUCCCCUUUGGUGCCACCCCUCCUCUCUUGGCGUGGGCCCUUCUUGGGCAUCCCACUUGUUGGUGUGAGGUGUCAUACCAGCACAUCUCCUCCCUCAUUUGAUUGGUUGCUA